ACCUACGGCCAUACCACCCUGAAAGCGCCCGAUCUCGUCUGAUCUCGGAAGCUAAGCAGGGACGGGCUUGGUUAGUACCUGGAUGGGAGACCGCCUGGGAAUACCAGGUGUUGUAGGCU
rfam:Xenopus tropicalis strain Nigerian scaffold_7726_contig_1, whole genome shotgun sequence.